AGCUCUGGAAAGAGCCACCAAAGACGGUGACAGUCCGGUAAGCGAAAAUUUCUGAACCUCUGGAGUAUCCCAAGUAGUACGGGGCACGAGAAACCUUGUACGAAUCUGCCAGGACCAUCUGGUAAGGCUAAAUACUGACUGACGACCGAUAGUGAACAAGUACCGCGAGGGAAAGGUGAAAAGAACCCGUGAGAGGGAGUGAAAUAGAACAUGAAACCGUGUGCUUACAAGCAAUUGGAGCACUAUUUAUAGUGUGACAGUGUGCCUGUUGAAGAAUGAGCCGGCGAGUUACCGUACGUAGUUGGUUAAGCAGUUAACAUGCGAAGCCAAAGGGAAACCGAGUCUGAUAAGGGCGUUGAUAAUUACGUGUGGUAGACCCGAACCCUGAUGAUCUAGGCAUGGCCAGGAUGAAGCGCGUGUAACAAUGCGUAGAGGUCCGAACCAACCGAUGUUGAAAAAAUCGGUGGAUGAGCUGUGUUUAGGGGUGAAAU
rnacentral:rRNA from 1 species